rnacentral:misc_RNA from 1 species
GAUGAAGAACGUAGCGAAAUGCGAUAAGUAAUGUGAAUUGCAGAAUUCAGUGAAUCAUCGAAUCUUUGAACGCACAUUGCGCCCAUUAGUAUUCUAGUGGGCAUGCCUGUUCGAGCGUCAUUUCAACCCUUAAGCCUAGCUUAGUAUUGGGAAUCGACUUUACUGUCGUUCCUCAAAUUCAACGGCGGAUUUAUAGCAAUCUCUGAACGUAGUAAUUUUUUUCCUCGUUUUUGAAAUACUAUAAACCUCAGCCGCUAAACCCCCAAUUUUUUUAUGGUUGACCUCGGAUCAGGUAGGAAUACCCGCUGAACUUAAGCAUAUCAAUAGCGGAGGA